UACGGAGGGUGCGAGCGUUAUCCGGAUUCACUGGGUUUAAAGGGUGCGUAGGUGGGCUGUUAAGUCAGUGGUGAAAUCUCCGGCUCAACCGGAACUGCCAUUGAUACUAUCAGUCUUGAAUAUCGUUGAGGUAAGCGAAUAUGUCAUGUAGCGUGAUGCUAGAUAUGACAUAGACACAUGCGAGCAGCUGCUACGAUAUGACACUGAGCACGAAAAAAGCGUGGGGGGAUCAAAAAACAGAUAGAUACCCCCCCAAGUAGUCGAGACAGACGUACUGCUACGUAAACAUACACCCCCC
rnacentral:rRNA from 1 species